rnacentral:rRNA from 1 species
CCCAUGCGUGGUGGAGCGGCGAUAUCUGAUUAGCUAGUUGGUGGGGUAAAGGCCCACCAAGGCGACGAUCAGUAGCUGGUCUGAGAGGACGACCAGCCACACUGGAACUGAGACACGGUCCAGACUCCUACGGGAGGCAGCAGUGGGGAAUUUUGGACAAUGGGCGCAAGCCUGAUCCAGCCAUUCCGCGUGAGUGAAGAAGGCCUUCGGGUUGUAAAGCUCUUUCGCGAGGGAAGAAAACUUACUUUCUAAUAAAGAGUGAGGCUGACGGUACCUUGAUAAGAAGCACCGGCUAACUACGUGCCAGCAGCCGCGGUAAUACGUAGGGUGCGAGCGUUAAUCGGAAUUACUGGGCGUAAAGCGUGCGCAGGCGGUUUUGUAAGUCAAAUGUGAAAUCCCCGGGCUCAACCUGGGAACUGCGUUUGAAAUACAAAGGCUAGA